UACGGAGGGGGCUAGCGUUGUCCGAAGUUACUGGGCGUAAAGCGCGCGUAGGCGGGUUGGUAAGUCCGCUGUGAAAGCCCGGAGCUCAACUCCGGAGGGUCGGUGGAUACUGCCAGUCUUGAAGGUGCUAGGGGGAGAUGGAAUUACCGGUGUAGCGGUGAAAUGCGUAGAUAUCGGUAGGAACACCAGUGGCGAAGGCGGCCUGCUGGGCAGUGGCUGACGCUGAGGCGCGACAGCGUGGGGAGCAAACAGG
rnacentral:rRNA from 1 species